UACGAAGGGGGCUAGCGUUGUCCGGAGUUACUGGGCGUAAAGGGCGUGCAGGCGGUGCGGUAAGUUUAGCGUGACAGUCUCCGGCUUAACUGGAGAAGGCCGCUGAAAACUGCUGGACUUGAGGGCCAGAGAGGGACAUAGAAUUCCGGGUGGAGUGGUGAAAUGCGUAGAUAUCCGGAGGAAUACCAAAGGCGAAGGCAGUGUCCUGGCUGGCAACUGACGCUGAGGCGCGAAAGCUAGGGGAGCGAACAGG
rnacentral:rRNA from 1 species